rnacentral:rRNA from 1 species
UACGUAGGGGGCAAGCGUUGUCCGGAAUCAUUGGGCGUAAAGAGCGUGUAGGCGGCUCGAUAAGUCUGCUGUGAAAGUCCAGGGCUCAACCCUGGAAGGCCGGUGGAUACUGUCGGGCUAGAGUGCGGAAGAGGCGAGUGGAAUUCCUGGUGUAGCGGUGAAAUGCGCAGAUAUCAGGAGGAACACCAAUUGCGAAGGCAGCUCGCUGGGACGUAACUGACGCUGAGACGCGAAAGCGUGGGGAGCAAACAGG